ACUCCUACGGGAGGCAGCAGUAGGGAAUCUUCGGCAAUGGGGGCAACCCUGACCGAGCAACGCCGCGUGAGUGAAGAAGGUUUUCGGAUCGUAAAGCUCUGUUGUAAGUCAAGAACGAGUGUGAGAGUGGAAAGUUCACACUGUGACGGUAGCUUACCAGAAAGGGACGGCUAACUACGUGCCAGCAGCCGCGGUAAUACGUAGGUCCCGAGCGUUGUCCGGAUUUAUUGGGCGUAAAGCGAGCGCAGGCGGUUUGAUAAGUCUGAAGUUAAAGGCUGUGGCUCAACCAUAGUUCGCUUUGGAAACUGUCAAACUUGAGUGCAGAAGGGGAGAGUGGAAUUCCAUGUGUAGCGGUGAAAUGCGUAGAUAUAUGGAGGAACACCGGUGGCGAAAGCGGCUCUCUGGUCUGUAACUGACGCUGAGGCUCGAAAGCGUGGGGAGCGAACAGGAUUAGAUACCCUGGUAGUCC
rnacentral:rRNA from 1 species